rnacentral:rRNA from 1 species
GCUCAGAGUGAACGCUGGCGGCGUGCUUAACACAUGCAAGUCGAACGGUAACAGCAGUGCUUGCACUGGCUGACGAGUGGCGAACGGGUGAGUAAUGUAUAGUUAAUUUGCCUCUUGGAGAGGGAUAGCCAUUGGAAACGAUGAUUAAUACCUCAUACUCCUUACAUAGUAAAUAUGUAAGGGAAAUGCUUUUGUGCCAAGAGAUAAGACUAUAUCCUAUCAGCUAGUUGGUGGUGUAAUGGACCACCAAGGCAAUGACGGGUAGCUGGUUUGAGAGGAUGAUCAGCCACACUGGAACUGAGACACGGUCCAGACUCCUACGGGAGGCAGCAGUGGGGAAUAUUGCACAAUGGAGGAAACUCUGAUGCAGCAACGCCGCGUGGAGGAUGACGCAUUUCGGUGUGUAAACUCCUUUUAUAUGGGAAGA